UACGGAGGAUCCAAGCGUUAUCCGGAUUCAUUGGGUUUAAAGGGUGCGUAGGCGGAAUGAUAAGUCAGUGGUGAAAGCCUGCAGCUUAACUGCAGAACUGCCAUUGAUACUGUCAAUCUUGAGUACAUUUGAUGAGGGCGGAAUGUGUCAUGUAGCGGUGAAAUGCUUAGAUAUGACACAGAACACCGAUUGCGAAGGCAGCUCUCAAAACUGUAACUGACGCUGAGGCACGAAAGCCAGGGUAGCGAACGGG
rnacentral:rRNA from 1 species